UGGUGGAGCGAUUUGUCUAGUUAAUUCCGAUAACGAACGAGACUCUGGCCUAUUAAAUAGUUCGCCGAUUCCGAUCUGUCGGCGUUAACUUCUUAGAGGGACAAGUGGCUUUUAGCCACGCGAGAUUGAGCAAUAACG
rnacentral:rRNA from 1 species